GGGCGGCUAGCUCAGCUGGUUCAGAGCGUCUGCCUUACACGCAGAAGGUCACAGGUUCGAACCCUGUGCCGCCCA
rnacentral:tRNA from 1 species